GAUGAACGCUAGCUACAGGCUUAACACAUGCAAGUCGCGGGGCAGCAUGGGGGUUGCUUGCAAUCCCCGAUGGCGACCGGCGCACGGGUGAGUAACGCGUAUCCAACCUGCCCUUCACCACGGGAUAACCCGGCGAAAGUCGGACUAAUACCGUAUGUUGUCCGUUGACGGCAUCCGAUUUGGACGAAAGGCUUGGCGGUGAGGGAUGGGGAUGCGUCCGAUUAGCCAGACGGCGGGGUAACGGCCCACCGUGGCUACGAUCGGUAGGGGUUCUGAGAGGAAGGUCCCCCACACUGGAACUGAGACACGGUCCAGACUCCUACGGGAGGCAGCAGUGAGGAAUAUUGGUCAAUGGGCGUAAGCCUGAACCAGCCAAGUAGCGUGCAGGAUGACGGCCCUAUGGGUUGUAAACUGCUUUUAUGCGGGGAUAAAGUGGCCCACGUGUGGGCUUUUGCAGGUACCGCAUGAAUAAGGACCGGCUAAUUCCGUG
rnacentral:rRNA from 1 species